UCCUACGGGGGGCAGCAGUGGGGGAUAUUGCACAAUGGGGGGAACCCUGAUGCAGCGACGCCGCGUGGGUGAAGAAGCGCCUCGGCGCGUAAAGCCCUGUCAGCAGGGAAGAAAAUGACGGUACCUGAAGAAGAAGCCCCGGCUAACUACGUGCCAGCAGCCGCGGUAAUACGUAGGGGGCAAGCGUUAUCCGGAUUUACUGGGUGUAAAGGGGGCGCAGACGGCGAUGCAAGCCAGGAGUGCAAGCCCGGGGCCCAACCCCGGGACUGCUCUUGGAACUGCGUGUCUGGAGUGCAGGAGGGGCG
rnacentral:rRNA from 1 species